UUGAGAGUUUGAUCCUGGCGCAGGAUGAACGCUUGCGGCGUGCCUAAUACAUGCGAGUCGAGCGAAUGGAUUAAGAGCUUGACCUUAUUAAGGUAGCGGCGUACGGGUGACUAACACGUGGGUAACCUGCCC
rnacentral:rRNA from 1 species